rnacentral:rRNA from 1 species
UUGAAAGGGAAACGAUUGAAGUCAGUCGUACCGGCGGGUAAUCAGCCUUUUGGGUGUGAUUAUGUGGAGUGUGAGGAGCUAAUCGCCUUCAUCUUUGCAUAUUCGUGCACUUUGGGUGUACUUGCUCGUGUGGUAGGUUAACAUCAAUUUUGAUCAUCAUAAAAUGAUUGAAGGAAUGUAGCUUCGAUCUCGUAUUGAAGUGUUAUAGCCUUUGGUAGAUGUGAUGAUCGGGAUUGGGGAUUGCAACGGAUACCCUUCGGGGCUACCCGUCUGAUCUCUGAAAGUUGCUCUGGUGCUGAAAGCUUGCUUAUGGUAUCAAAGUUGACGUUUAAUAGGUUAGAACGGGAUAAAUUCGUUAAGGAUGUUGACGUA